rnacentral:rRNA from 1 species
AGGGCACCACCAGGAGUGGAGCCUGCGGCUUAAUUUGACUCAACACGGGGAAACUCACCCGGCCCGGACACUGGAAGGAUUGACAGAUUGAGAGCUCUUUCUUGAUUCAGUGGGUGGUGGUGCAUGGCCGUUCUUAGUUGGUGGAGCGAUUUGCCUGGUUAAUUCCGAUAACGAACGAGACUCUAGCCUACUAAAUAGAUCGCCGGUUUACAAACAUCGGUGAGACUUCUUAGAGGGACAGGCGGCGAUUCAGCCGCACGAAACAGAGCAAUAACAGGUCUGUGAUGCCCUUAGAUGUUCGGGGCCGCACGCGCGCUACACUGAAGUGAUCAGCGUGCUUUUUAAGCCUACUCUGCCAAGAGUGGGAAACCCAAUGAACCUUCUUCGUGAUUGGGAUAGGAGAUUGUAAUUAUUCUCCUUGAACGAGGAAUUCCCAGUAAGCGCGAGUCAUUAGCUCGCGUUGAUUACGUCCCUGCCCUUUGUACACACCGCCCGUCGCUACUACCGAUUGAAUGUUUU